rnacentral:rRNA from 1 species
GAUGAACGCUGGCGGCGUGCCUAAUACAUGCAAGUCGAGCGAACAGACGAGGAGCUUGCUCCUCUGACGUUAGCGGCGGACGGGUGAGUAACACGUGGAUAACCUACCUAUAAGACUGGGAUAACUUCGGGAAACCGGAGCUAAUACCGGAUAAUAUAUUGAACCGCAUGGUUCAAUAGUGAAAGACGGUUUUGCUGUCACUUAUAGAUGGAUCCGCGCCGCAUUAGCUAGUUGGUAAGGUAACGGCUUACCAAGGCAACGAUGCGUAGCCGACCUGAGAGGGUGAUCGGCCACACUGGAACUGAGACACGGUCCAGACUCCUACGGGAGGCAGCAGUAGGGAAUCUUCCGCAAUAGGCGAAAGCCUGACGGAGCAACGCCGCGUGAGUGAUGAAGGUCUUCGGAUCGUAAAACUCUGUUAUUAGGGAAGAACAAAUGUGUAAGUAACUAUGCACGUCUUGACGGUACCUAAUCAGAAAGCCACGGCUAACUACGUG